rnacentral:other from 1 species
UUUACCCUGCUUGGUGCGUGACGGGCUAUUUUUAAACCUACGUGACUUGAACGGGAUUACGGCCUCCCGCGGCGGAUUGCAGGCCUCCCGGCCCUAGGGCUGGAUGUUGGAAGCAGAGAAAUCGCGGGGAGUAAACCCACCUGCUAUAAAAGCAGGUUUUUAAAAAGGUCCGCACGGCCAAAGUGGGGUUAUC